UACUAAUUUUAUUUACUGAAAAUGUAUUUCCGACGCUAUUUAUGCUCGCAAACAGCCGCCGCCCACCGCCGCCGCUACCUACGGCCGGUGAAGCAAGUGGUUAAAUCUAACUUCUCCGAGACUUUAGCUGAAAUCAAGGAAAGCAUCGUCAGCUCCGAUUUCGUAGCGGUUUCGUUGCAGAAGACCGGCAGCUACUCCGCGCCGUGGCAAAAAUGCCUCCCGAUUGACACGGAUGAGACGGCUUAUUGGAAGGCCAAGCGCGCCGCUGAGCGAUUUCAGAUUCUACAGUUCUCGGUUUGCCCUUUCUCGGUUAAAGCUUCUAAGCUCAUCGCGAAUCCGUAUAACUUCCAGUUGUUUCCGAGGCAUGAGGUGAAAGCUGGGAUGCCAUCUUAUGGUUUUUUAUGCCAAUCAUCGUGUUUGGCCUCUAUGGCGCAAGAAGGUUUUGAUUUCAAUGCUUGCAUAUACAAUGGCAUAUCAUACAUGUCUAGAGCACAAGAAUCAGCUGCAACAGUUCAAACUCGAAGUGUAUUACUGAACGGUGGCGGUUUGCUAUCUACUUCAGCCUUGUCAGUUGCUGAUGUUAUAUUUUCUGAAAGGAUCAAAACUCGAGUUAAGAACUGGAUGAAUGGUUGUAACAAUCAACAUAAAACUGGGGAUUAUCUGAUAAGUUCAUUGAGGAAACUAGUAGAAAGAUCUGAAAACUAUGGUUCCAGACCAUCCUUGACCAUAGAUGUCUGCAGUGAACGCCAGGUGCAGCUUACAUCGGAGGCGUUGAAAGAGUUUGUUAAUAUUGUACUAGUACGUCCUCUGGCAAAAGCAGGGGUAGAGGCUGUUCAAGUUGUUUUGACGAGUUCAGAAGAAGAUAAGAAUCUUCUUGUGAAGGAAAUUCAAGGUCUGGAAGAGGAGCAUAGAAGGCUUGUUAGUGGCUUUCGAGAGGUGAUAGACUUGAUUUCUACUUCUCAGAGGCCGGUUGUUGUGCACAACUCACUUAACGAUUUUGCCUUCAUACAUGAAAAGUUCCUUGCUCCACUUCCUCCAACUACAAAUGAAUUCUCGAGUUCUUUGCUUUCGGUUUUUCCUCAUAUACUCGAUGUCAACCAUCUUAUGAAAGAACUUGGAUUAUUUGAUGAAAUGAAUAACUUGUCAUCAGCCAUUUCCUAUCUGGAUAGUAGGUUCUCUGCGUCAAUAGACAUGGAAGUUUCUUAUGAAGAGAAGACAGACUGUGUCGAUGUUCAUGGGCAUAGUGUUAUGAAAGUAUGCCAGUUGUUUGUUAAACUGUGCUCUAUACUGAAAAUCUCUUUAGAGAUUCCUGAAGGAGGUCAUACCCAAUUGCCUGCUUUACUUCAAUGCAGUUCCAAUAUGUUAUGUUCAAGUGAUGUUAGAGAUCCUUGCAAUGAUGACGUGAGAAUUUGGACAUCCAAAAGUAGAACGGUUAGCUUAAGAAAUUUGGUAUUCUUGUGGGGGUUUAGAAGGGGAAUGUCGGCCCAAGAUCUGAAAGACGUUCUGUGUAAUUCACAUGAUGUUUUCUCGGAAGAAUUUGAUGUUAAGAUGGUGGAUAGGACAUGUGCUAUAGUUGUUUUCUGGACUCCUGGUGUCUCAAAAAGUUUUCUUGGGAUAAUGGAUUCUGGAGAAUGUUUCUCUAAUAAGCUGGAAAAUAUGAUAUUGGAAGGCCUGAAAGCUGCAGAUUACGAGACAUAUAGAAGAGUUUGCAAAUCUGAUUUAUGGAAACCAAAUCUAGCAGAGUGCUUGGCCCAAGCCACAGAUGAAACCGUAGUAUUUUCUGGAGCCAAGAUGCAGCAGGAGAAAUCAGUAAUAUGCAGGAAUAAUGAUGAGAUGAUUAAUCUGGAUGAACUUUAACAUUCAUCAUUUUCAUGGCAUCACCUGGAAUGGGGUCUGUUAAACUAUUGUCCAAUUUCUACGCACUGCGAUGGGUUAAGAUGCUCCACGUACAGAUUUUCAGUUGAUGAAUAUCUUGAAAGCCAUGGCAUACCCGUUGGCACAUAAUAAGUUCCAUUCAAGAACUUGGGCAGCCAUCCCCGGCUCCCCGCUCAUUUUGGACCGUUAUCUUCCAGUUCCAUUCUUGGUGAGGGAUCUUUACUGCUCGAAUGAUUGGCUACUGAAGAUGAAUGCUGUUAAGUUACUUGAGUACAGUUGCAUAUGAAGUGCUUUUCCUGGGCUUUAGUCUCCUGCAGCUAAAGAAGAUUGAAAGCUACAGUUGUAAUUCCACCUGUUGACGAUGGUCACAAGCAGCAAGAUCUUUGAAGACAUCAUAUGGAUAUGCUGUUGGGAAUUCCACUUCUCGGUAUUCCAUCACUUGAUCUAACCACUGAUGUUUCAGGAUACAGAAGCUCGUACAGGGAAUCAUCUUUCACCCGUCUGUUCUUCAGCUUGGGGUCUCGGUUUCUAACUUGGAUUCUUUGCUUCACUUCUUCGAGAUCAUCUUCGAAACUUCUGAACAUCCGAAGUAUCCUUCCAUCUGCUAUCCAUUUCAGUGAAGGCUGUUGCCCUAAGCUCAUUUCAUCAGACAAGCGUCUUGACAGAACAUCAACCACAGCUAUUCCAAGUGCCGUCUCAAACUUUUCAGGUAACAUACUGAGAAAAUAUUUGUAUGGAUCUAUGAGAAGCUCGGCAAACUCCAUUGUCCCUUCAUAUGGAAUAGGUUUCCGACAUGCUGUUGGAUGGUUUGGUGGAUAGCCUGCAUAGUCGUACUGUCCUAAGCUUAUUGCAGCAUGAUGAGCCGAGACAGUCCAUAUUAGAGUUGUUAUAGUCUCAAUCAGUUCAGACACUGUUUUCAUUUCAUACCACCAUGUUUCGUUGCACUUAUCCCCAUGACCGACAUAUCUGAUCUCCGACCACCACUCUGCAAUCUCAUUGUCAGACCUUAAAGUGGCAUCUUCAUAGAAGUAAGAACAGUAUUCUAUCACCCAGUUUUUUAUGGCUAUCCAAAUAUCAAGUCCAUCUGCACCCUAGGGAUAAUCUUGAAAGAGAAGUUCAAUGUUUUCUGGCUGAUUCGGGUUAUAUCUGGCAAAACCUCUGAGAAAUGUUUUCGUAGAACAGAAGACUGUAAGAGAAGCGCAUAAAUUUAAGCUAUGGCUGUGCAGUAAAUAAUGAAUAAUACCUUUUGAUCAGGUCUGCAGGGAGGCUUUGCUCAUCAAAUCUCCAGCUUCUGUACAGAGAUGAUGAGAGCUCCAUCUAACCGGUGAAUGGGGUGCAUAGCACUCAACUUCCUUUGAGUUGCAAUGAUAAAUGGCUCGACUACUGCAUGCAUAUGUAGCCUAGAAAAAGGUGAACUGCUUCAGACACUGGUUCAAAUACUAAGAUCAGAGUGAAAUAGCUCACCAGUGGCUGACUAGAUGAUGGUAAACUGAGUCUGCUGCUGCCACAUGAGCUUUUGCAAGUUGCCAGAGGGCAGCUUCUGUCCCUUCAUGUGCUGGACGUAAAACUCUGCUGAUUUCCUCAUGGUACAAA